rnacentral:rRNA from 1 species
AUUGAACGCUGGCGGAAUGCUUUACACAUGCAAGUCGAACGGUAGAGGGGGCAACCCCUUGAGAGUGGCGAACGGGUGAGUAAUAUAUCGGAACGUGCCCAGUCGUGGGGAUAACGUAGCGAAAGCUACGCUAAUACCGCAUACGAUCUACGGAUGAAAGCGGGGGAUCGCAAGACCUCGCGCGAUUGGAGCGGCCGAUAUCAGAUUAGGUAGUUGGUGAGGUAAAGGCUCACCAAGCCGACGAUCUGUAGCUGGUCUGAGAGGACGACCAGCCACACUGGGACUGAGACACGGCCCAGACUCCUACGGGAGGCAGCAGUGGGGAAUUUUUGGACAAUGGGCGCAAGCCUGAUCCAGCAAUGCCGCGUGCAGGAUGAAGGCCUCGGUUGUAAC